GCUGCGGUAGCUCAGUCGGUAGAGCAAAGGACUGAAAAUCCCUGUGUCGGUGGUUCAAUUCCACCCCUCAGCACCA
rnacentral:tRNA from 1 species